GAUGAACGCUGGCGGCGUGCCUAAUACAUGCAAGUCGAGCGAAUGGAUUAAGAGCUUGCUCUUAUGAAGUUAGCGGCGGACGGGUGAGUAACACGUGGGUAACCUGCCCAUAAGACUGGGAUAACUCCGGGAAACCGGGGCUAAUACCGGAUAACAUUUUGAACCGCAUGGUUCGAAAUUGAAGGCGGCUUCGGCUGUCACUUAUGGAUGGUCCUGCGUCGCAUUAGCUAAUUGGUGAGGUAACGGCUCACCAAGGGAACGAUGCGUAGCCGACCUGAGAGGGUGAUCGGCCACACUGGGACUGAGACACGGCCCAGACUCCUACGGGAGGCAGCAGUAGGGAAUCUUCCGCAAUGGACGAAAGUCUGACGGAGCAACGCCGCGUGAGUGAUGAAGGCUUUCGGGUCGUAAAACUCUGUUGUUAGGGAAGAACAAGUGCUAGUUGAAUAAGCUGGCACCUUGACGGUACCUAACCAGAAAGCCACGGCUAACUACGUGCCAGCAGCCGCCGUAA
rnacentral:rRNA from 1 species